rnacentral:rRNA from 1 species
CCUACGGGCGGCUGCAGUCGAGAAUAUUCCCCAAUGGCCGAAAGGCUGAGGGAGCGACGUCGCGUGUAUGAAGAAACCCUUCGGGGUGUAAAGUACUUUUAACUGGGACGAAUCAAUGACGGUACCAGUUGAAUAAGGGGCUGCUAAACUCGUGCCAGCAGCAGCGGUAAUACGAGUGCCCCAAGCGUUAUCCGGAUUUAUUGGGCGUAAAGCGUACGUAGGUGGUUUAUCGCAUCUCCUGUUAAAUCCCGAGGCUCAACCUCGGGGCUGCGGGAGAGAUGGCUAAACUAGAGACCGGGAGAGGUAAGUGGAAUUGCUGGUGUAGGGGUUAAAUCCGUUAAUAUCAGCAAGAACACCUAAUGUGAAGACAGCUUACUAGAACGGUUCUGACACUAAGGUACGAAAGCGUGGGGAGCGAACGGGCUUAGAUACCCUGGUAGUC